rnacentral:tRNA from 1 species
GAAGGUAUAGCUCAAGCGGUAGAACACAUAUCUAGCAUGUACAAGAUCCUGGGUUCAAUCCCCAGUACCUCCU